UGUAUGGGCUGUGGUUUUUUUCUGGUAAUUGCACUUGCAUGAGGGUUUCUGGGGAGAAACAAAUGUGAAAUUGGCAUUCAUUCAUCUUACUUCUCCUAGCAGGUAACUAGAAAGUGCUCGGUACCACAGGUCAAGUUAGGUGCACUCUGCAUCCACCUUUGGGCUGAUUUUUGCUUAAUCCCCUUUUUCUCUGAAGGACCCUUACUUCUUAAAGCUUUUCUAUUUUAAUCAGAAAUAACACCUCCUUGUUUGUUCUUAGGGUUGAACAUUACAACAAAAGAGUAAUCAUGGCUAGCCAUACUUUAUUGGGGGUGAUUUGCUAUUUCCUACUCUGCUUAUAGAACCCGUGUUUUGCCUUAUGGAAGCUCUUUUCAGUUACGUGACUAACAUUUUUUGUCAGCUGACAGGUUAUUACAAGGAAAUUUAAAGGGAGGUUUUCUCCAAGAGAGCUCAAAGGGUUUGUUUUGUGUGUCACGUAGGGAAAAAUAAUUCAUGGGCAUCUUGAGUUUUGAGUGUGAGGAUUUCUUGUAGCUGAAAUCUAUACAGUUUUCUGCAUUUUUAAGUAUAAAGAUCAGUGUCUCCACUGGUAACAUGAUUCUUUUCAAACUGGUAGUUAAAUUGGCUCCAGCUCUUUCCCCAACCCUCUCCUGCAUCAGCAGUACUUCUCUGAACCAGGUGCUCCGUGCUCACCUGCAGGCGGUGUUUGAUUCACAGCCAGCUGCAGCCCCGUAUUUUUAUCUGUGCCAACCCCAUGCUAAAUAUGGGAGUCUGUGCUUGAGAAGACAAGUCAUGCACAUUACGCAGCCUUUUCCUUGGAGGGAAUGUGCCAAAAUCACAGAAGCAGGAAAGCCAGAGGUUUGGCAUGAGGAAGCAUAAACUCAGAGUUUCACCUCGUUGUAUUCCUGUGUUCUUAGGAGUAUCAUCCUUCCCAGCUAUGAGCUUGCUGUGUCUCUGGUCAGCAUCUUGGCCGUUCCACAAAUGGAAAAUUGGAGUUACUAUGGCACAUGCUACUCAGCCUGAAGCCAGUGGUCUAGCAAGAACUAGCCAGCUGCCCCAACUUUUCUCUAGCCCUCUGCUGCUUGAGAAAUAAUUACAGCUCUAAACAGGAGAGCAGGAGGCUAAGGCACACUGCCCAUUGUUGUCUGAAAGCAGCAUGCAUUGAAUUACCAUUAGGAGGCCAGGAGAAACCAGCCAGUAGGUCAAAGUGGGGUGGGAUGGCACAUAGACAUAUAGGUGGACAAAGAGAACAUUAGAAAUGAGGAAAAUGGAGAGCCUGAAAUGUAGGAAAUACGCUCAACUAUCCUUUGAACCCAGGCUGAUAUUUGUUUCAACAGGCUGAAAUAUGCUAGAUAAUAUUUGUUAUACGGAAUGUACAGUGUGUACUCCAGUGGGAAAGGGUAAUCAAAGUAAAGGUAAAGCAUAAAUUUAAAUCAUUGGUUUGGUGUUAUUUGUUAAGAAUCUCUCAUGAGCCAGGGCCUCUAAUAUUUAUCUUUGUAUCCCUAUUGCCUGUCGUCUACAUGGACAGGACAGAGGGACUGAUAUCUGUGGGAUUUUAUUUUAGAGUCUCCCCAUCUUCUCUGUACUCUCUCUCCCUUGGGCCAGGACAGUCUCACCCUUCCCUGAACCACCCACUCACAGGAAGGAGAAUUUCCUUAAUGAAGGCGAGUAAACAUGGACCUGAGUGCCCACAGGGACAACGCCUUUAUGUACUUUUACCCAGAUUGAAUCAGGGAAAACUACCUGGGAAGAAGGCACACCCUCCCCAGUCCAGUGGAAUGACAUUUGCAUGGCACAGGCUUCACCCAGCCAAACCAGCACACAGGUGUAGAAUCUGUGGUGGGCAGUUGGACAGAUGUGCCUCCCUGUCUCCAGAGCUCCACCGUCCUUCACUCCUUGUCCCUUGCUGCUUCCUAGGACUCCAGCUUCAUCUCAGGUGAAAGCAGCAGGAAGAUACAUCAAACACCAUUAUUUAUUGAAUGGCAUUGGACUCAAACCAAAAUACAGAAUUAGAUUACUAUACCUGACCAGUCGGUUCACAUUUUAAACAAAUAAAUAGGCAGAUAGAGGUGAAUUAACUACAAAGGAAGGUGGAAAUAUACUCCAGGGAGAGGCCAGUGCUGGGGAGGGAAAACCGGUCAGAGCUGGUCAUUUUGAGAACCUAAGUAGGACAGGAUGUUAAACUAUUUCAGAUCCGGCUCUGUGUUUUUGAUCAGCCAGACGAAGGGCAGAUUUGGUUGGGAGAACGAAAGAUGAGCCACACACUUGGUGUCUGAAAUGUUGAAUAAUUCUUUGUGAUUAUUUCCACCUUUUGGCAGUGGGGUGUGCUUUGUAUGUGUCACGUGGCUGGCCAUGAUCUAGCAAUUACUUUCUUACUUUCUGUUUCUUCUGGUAGACUGUGUAAGCUCAUUGAGGGCGAGGACUUUACCUGCUUCAUCUCUAGGUCCCUAAAGCCUAGUCACUGAUGUUAAAUUUAUGUGUGAUACCCCAACCUUCACUCCCAGUGCCACAGAACAGGGCAAGGGUGACUACAAUUAACUCUCCAUGAGAACUAGGGUCAGGAUGUGAGAUUCUGUGAGAAUUUGAAAUACACAUAACUGUGGGUUUGAGCUUGUGUGUGUGUGUGUGUGUGUGUGUGUGUGUGUGUGUGUGUGUGUAUGCUUGUAUCAGUGUUCCCAGGAAUCAAAGCCAGGGCGUUGCGUAUGCAAGGCUUUACCCCGAUCCACACCCACACAAUCCCCAGGUAGCAGCUUUCUUAGCUCUAGGACUACUCCACUGGGAUUUGAGAAGAUGGGAUGAGUAGUGACAGUAGCCAGUUGCUGGAGGCAAAGAUCUAGAACAGGGAACAUUCCUGUAGGGGACAGUCUGUGACCAGCGUGGCUGAAACAGGAGACUGAUGUUGAAAGUCCUGCAUCACAUAUGAGGCCAGCGUGGGAAGGGACAAACAACGAUGCUUGAAAUUAAAACUUUUAGUAAUGGGAAACCACUGAAGCAAUUUAAACCAAGCCUCAGAGAUAAAAGGAAAACUCAAAGGAGUUGAACUCAGUAGUGCCAGACAAGACAGGCCAGAGCAGGUGGUGCUAGAGGCAAGGGUCCUGAAAAGCCAUGUACAGCAACCAUCCACAAACCAUGGGAUGAAGUUACACGGGGAAAUGGGUUUCAAGAUUCUGGGGUAUUUGGGUGGGUGGGAAAGCUUGAGAUAAAUGUAUCAUUUGUAUCCAGCAUGUUCUCUCCAAAUGAGUGUUAAAAAUACCACAUGUAGGCAUUUUACUGAGGGUUCACUAAAUGCUAGUCAUUGUCUAAGCAUUUUACAUGCAGCAUAUCAAUGCAUCCUUUUGAAGUAGUACUAUUAGUUCCAUUUGGCAGAUAAAUCAACCAAGGCACAGAGAGAUUAAAUAAUUUGCUCAAGCUUAGGCAGUUAAUAAAAUGCAGAGUCAGGAUUCAAACAGGAUGGAAGGCCGCACAGGUCCAAGGCUUAACCACAAGUACCCACUUCAAUAAGUUUGUGGGAGGAUUUGUGGUGUGAUGAGAGAGAUUCGAAAAAGCAGUGUGUGUGAUCAUCAUUUUGAAAGGCGAUCAGAGAGCCCUUUCCUGUAUCAGUUUAAGGAGAUCAGUGCACUGUAACAUUUGUAGUAAGAUAAUAUGCUUUUUCUUUUGUGUCCUAAACAUUAAUCUUUUCAUUUACAUAGGAAAAAUAUUCACUAUAAAAAUUCAAAUCUUGCAGAAAUUACUGCAAGAUAAUGUAAUCAUACUGGACCCCAAAAUCAUUAUCCAUCGCUGAAUGUAAAUUCUUCCAGCUCUCUCUCUCUGUCUCUCUUUUUAUUAUUAUUUAUGUUAAUAUUAAUCUUUUUUCCCAAGGUUGAUGAAACUGUUUUGUAACUGCUUUUUCAUUUAAUAAAUGAGACAUUGACCAUGUCUGUAUGUUAUUUUAUUCACUUUAGGGUUCAUGUUCUUUUCCAAUCAGCAGAGCAGAGACAGAUGUGACCUAGAUUCUCACCUCAAGGCCACUUUUGUUCCUUUUGCACCUUUGACAGGACUCAAGGCAAAGCAAGCUCAAAUGGGACUCGGUUUUCUGUUUCUGUGAAAAUAACAAAAGCUAGCAUUUAGCUAGUGCUUACUAUAAGCCAGCAACUAUUCCUCGCCCCAUUUUACUGAUGAGAAAACCAAUACCCAGAGUGGUUAAGUAAUUUUCUCAUAUAGCUGAAAAUUAGAAAGUCAGAACCUGAACCCUUGCUCUGUGUCUCCAAACCCUGUAUAUUUAGCAGCACGUGGUCUCUGUAUCACUUUUACAAGUCUUUUAUUCGAGCUAAUUAAAAUGCAGGGGUUUCCAUAGCAACCUGUGGAUCAAUGGUAGAGUAAAAGUUGGUCAAUAAAGCUCUACUACUUCUCUAGCAACUGAAAGGGGAUUUGUGUGCCCCUUCCUUUCUGCGAUUGUCUUCUGUGGCCCCUGCACUGUAGCCAUAAGUGGGCCUGCACUUUGACUUACUGCCCCUCAGUGUCCCCAGGGGAGGCCUCUUGUACUUGACCCUUAUUUAGUAUCUUUACCGCUGUAGAGACCUUGAAUGGAGAGUUGCCCAACAUUCCCUGGCAGAUGAGCACAGAAGGGCUAUGUCUAUCUAGCCCGCAAAACCCACACUGAUUUCCAAAGAGCCUCCUUAAGUAGAUAAGCAUAGAUAAGAAAUCUCAGUGUAGCAACUUUAAAAGGAUCUUCUUCUUCUUCUUGUUAUCGUUUUCUGUUUUGUUUUUUGUCAAACUGAACCAGAUUGGCUUAAUCUAAAGUCUCUUUCAAUAGAAUACUGUGACUUUCUCCUUAGCUCUGUGCUAGGGUAGCUGCGUAAAGCUAUCCAAGAUCAACUCCCACAUCAAUGGAGCCUAGAAGACAUCAACAUUUGAAUGACUUGUUGGUAACAAAUUUUAUUGUGUCAAAUUAUUUCUCCUUAAAUAGAAAACACUUUUUCUAUAUUCUCAACAUACUGAUACUGAUAUGUGAGUCUAUUCCUUACGAAUUCUUUAGGUCUCUGGCUGUGGACCUGAAAAUUACACCCUCUAAAUAUGUAGUUGAUUUUCUGGCAACCAGGCUCCCUUCUCACCUCAUUAGCAUAGACUGAGGAAAUUGAAAGCUCCCCCCACAUUGGUCAUUGGGGUCAGGGCCUUGUGCAUGCUAGGCAAGUGCUCUGCCACUGAGCUAUAUGCCCAGGCCUUUUUAUUUUAUUUUGAGAUAGAAUAUCACUAAGUUUCCUAGACUGUCUUAACAAUUUGUUGUCUUUUGGCCUUAGCCUUCUGAGUAGCUGAGAUUGCAGAAUAUAGACAGCAAAAUGGGCUUUUAAAAAAUAAAUAUAGCUGGGGUUGGCUCAGUGACAAAGUGCUUGUCUGGCAGGUACAAGGUCAUGAGUUCAAUCCCCGGUACAAACAAAAACACACACACACACACACACACACACACACACACACACACACACACAUACACACAAUGCUUCUCUCACCUCAUCAUUUAGGAAAAUUCCUAAGGUUUUAGAAAUUCUGUUUCAAGCAUCUGGAGAUGAAGACUGAGUAUAUCUCAUUUAUACAUCUCAUUUAUACCAUGAUACAUCUCAUUUAUACCAUGAUGUCACCCUCCUGAAGGUGUGUGUUGUCAUAGAGCUUUAGGAUUAGAAACUUUAAGAAGUUCAGUUUCUUUUUGAUCUAUCUUACAAGUUUUCCAUGGUAGUCAAGUAGAUUCCAUUUUUACACUGUCAAGGAAAGUGAACUCACUAAGUACAAAAGCAGCUCUCAUUUUCAGAACAUGUCAAUUUAUAACAGUGUGCUUUAUAUGACCUCUGUCACCUGCUGUCCCCAAACCAAAUGCAAAACUUUGGGUAGUUUCUCCACUUUACUUCUUUCCAGGCUUUCGAGCACAGCCAUCACUUCUUUUCAAAUUCAUGUCUUUAUUCUCAUGUGCAGCUGUAGAAUCCAGGGCUGCUGUGAUUCCCCUCCUUGACUGUGUCCCAAAGUGCCUGUAUCACUUUCCUUUGCCGACAGAUGUAGAUAAGGACAGCCAGUUCUCUGUUCUUCAUGGCUUCCUUGUGUGAGAUAUGCUGAACUUUCAGCUUCAUCUAGUUCUUUAAAAGAAGAAAAAACAAAGAGGUUUAUUUUGGAACAUUUGUAGGGGAAAAAAACAUUGGUCAGAGUUUCUUUUGCUUCAACUAAUAUUACUGGAAAAAUUAAACUGUGGACAUAGAUUUUUUAUUUAGCAUAUUUUAGCAUCCUCCUUACCUGCCUUUUAUGUGUGUGUAUGGGUGUGUGUGUGUGUGAGUGUGUGCGCUAGUAGUACCCACUGUUCCAUCAGUCAGACAGGAAUUAUGUUAAAAAUAAUGCCAUUUAACUUUUCCUGAGUAGAAGGAUCCCUAAUGUACCAAAUGCCAGGGCUUCUUAAAAGUGAGAAGUAAAAUAUUGUAGAGUAUUUCUUUGUGCCAGGGAUUCUAAAUAGCUGGCCUUUAAAGAGAAGGGCAUUUUGUUACCUUUAAAAAGCUUAGUCCCUUCUUCUGCUGUCAACAGGCAGGACUUGGACACUUACUCCAGAUACAAUUGUAACACUAGAAGAGGGUAAAAGCAAAGUGAUAGGAUAGAUUUACUUCAAAAAGCUUUCUUUGAGUAAAAACUGGGACUGUGUAAGAUUUGAUUAUACCCUUAGAAAUUACUUUUCUGAACAAAUUGUUGCUGGGAGAAACCAGGCAUCCUGGGGUUGAAACUUUGUGAAGAUGGAAAAAUGCAUAACAUGUCUUUGUAUCACUUUCUAAAACCCUAUGAUUGGGGGGAUCUGUAUAGGAGAGUUUACAGAUAUUAUUUCAUAUGGGAAAACCACUGUUAAGAUUAACAGGGCCCAUCAGCCACUGGUUAGCUGAAAGAAGACAAAAUCUUUAGACAAAUUUUAAAUAAAGACGAACUAACUAUACCAGGGAAUGUACUAGAUAAGAGUGACUAUGUGUAAUUGUACAGUAAUUAUGUUGAAAACGUAGUCACAUGCCACCAGCUAAUUACUUAUGCAUUUUGAUGGGGGAUGAAUCUAUCCCCACCGGCAGCCCCUUCAGAUCUCAGAGACCCACACUGAUACCGUGCGGGUAAGAUUCUUUUUAGAAGAGUGGCCUUCUCCUGGCUAAUUAAGAGAUGCGACUAUGAGGAUAUUGGAGCCAAUACUCAAAGGGGAAAAAAGGAAAUUGAGCCUUCUAUUAAAAGGAGUUAAAUGAUGCCCAGAGUAGUUGGGAUUAAAAAGAACAAAGUCAGUUUAAAAAAAGACUUCCUGAAUCAAAGAACUGCUUCUUUCAUCAAAUGCUAGGAAGAAAGUAAAAUGAUUUUUAAUGAAAAAUGAGGCAGCGGAAUUAGCCUUUUACCUAGAUUCUGAGACUUCAAACACAGUGGGACAUUUUCAAUAAAGUCAUUUGAGUUUUUUGGGGAGAAGUGUGCUCCAUAUAUUUGGGAUAUCAUUGUAAAAGAGAAACUGGUGUUUUUUUUUUUUUCAAAAUUAGAUUAAUGAUCCAGAAAAAUACCAAGAGGGCAACCAAAAAAUAAUGUAUAUAUAGAACAGGGGUGUGUGUGCCACAAAACGAUUUAGUGCUAAAACCUAGCAUUUGGAUAACUUGGGUUGCACACAAUGACAGUGGUCAGGUGGUUACCAUGAUAGUGAUUAUUUUGACCUUGGUAGGAAGUGUCCUCCUUUGGAUGGUUCACUAUAACCAUCUAAGCUAGUCUAUAGGAGCAGCCAUGACAAAAUACCACCAACUGUGUGGCUUAAGCAACACAAAUCUAUUUUGUCAUAGUUCUUGAGGCUGUAAAGUCCAAGAUCAAAGUUUCUGCAAGAUUUGGUUUGUAAUGAGGGCUUUCUCUGUGGCUUGCCAAUGGUUGCAUCUCACUGUGUCCUCCUGUGGCUUUUCCUAUGUGAAUUUGCUUGGAGAGAGAGAAAAUGAGUUCUAGUUUCUGUCUCUGUCUCUCUGCCUCUCUAUCUGUCUCUAUCUCUGUCUCCGACUCUUUUCUCUGGGGUUGAACCCCAAGCCUUGUGCAUGCUGAGAAACCAUUCUAUCACUGAGCAACACCCAGCCUUAGUGUCUCUUCUUUAUAAGGACACUGGUCCUGUCUGAUCAAACCUACCUUUAUGACCUCACUUAAAACUUAAUCACUACUAUCUCCAAAUACAGCCUGCCAUCAGAGAAGUCGGGGCUGCAGCAUAUGAUUUUGGGGAUACAGACACUGAGUUUAUAGUUUUUCCACAUAAGGAAGAAGCCAGAAAAGCUUUUAGGCUUGGCAAGUGUGAGGCUUCUGGCCAUACUUGCCUGUCCGUGGGGAAAGCCUUCACCACUUUGGGGGUAGUCAGGAAACCUGAGAGCAGGCUAAUGCUGUGUUUUCUGUUUUUUAAUUAUAAAUGAAUUAAUUGUUUAAACUAGAGAGCAUAGCCAUAAACUAGAGAGCAUAGCGUCUUCAUAACAGAUUUGCUUGUAUUCUCAAGAUGCAUUUAAAGGCAGUGUGGCCAGUGAGAAAUUCUCUACUAUAAACCAUCCCAUUUUGAACAUUGGCUAUCUACCUGGCAAACCAGGGUUUUGCAAAGGGAACUUUGCACUCUUCAACUUUACUACCUUUGAACUUUCACCUGAAUAUGAUUUUCGUUUGUUUGCUUGUUCACUUUUGAGGUUGUUUUUGUUUUUGAGGCAACAUCUUGCUGUGUAGUUCGGCUGGCCUUGAACUCACAGCAGUCUUCCUGUCUCAGCCUCCCUACAGGCAUGUACCACCGUACCCAGCUGGAUGUGGUUUUAAUGGUUUCCAAAUUAUUUUCUGGGGUUGAAAAAGUUUUCUAACCGUAAAACUAACAAGUCACUCCUAUUAAACUCAAAGUUACCUGAAGGUUUUCAGGGUAUAUAACCUUAGCUUGAAAAUUCUAAGGUGAAUGAACUGUUUUAGAAUCAAAUGUUCAGUUCAGCUAUGAGAAAAGUAUGCAUGUAUUUUUGUGCUGUGUGUGCUGAACCAGAGCUCAUGUGUUGUGUUGGCAGUUGGUGCUGGCAGUUUAAUAAUUUGAGCUAGAUAAAGGGAAAGGGAAUCCCAAGACAAGAAAGAUGAUUCUCACAAAUGGGAAAGACAUCUGGACUGAUAAGAAAACAAACUGAAAGAGGAGCUAAAGAUAACCAGGAGACACUGCUCAUAAAUUUGCCUCGGGUUCAGACAGGGGGUCAUGCAGCUGGAUUACAGGCAGGGUCACUGUGGUGGUCUUGGAACCCAUGUCCUGAUUUGGAGCCUUAGGUGGCCUCCCUCACCACAUUCCCUGUGUCCAGCCUUGAGGAGGCUGGAGGCACAGAUGAGAAUCAUUGCCCAGUGCAGACAGGUAUUGUAGGUUAUACACGAUUGGUGCAACUCUCAGGUGCUUGAGAAGUAGGCCAGCUGAGUCCCCUGUCUUACCUGUGCUAUGUUAGAUGAUCUAUAAAACUUACCUGGGAAGGGCUGGGGAUUUAGCUCAGAGGCAUAAGUGCCUGCCUGGCAAGUUUGAGGUCAGUCUCCGGUACCAAAAAACAAAAACAAAAAAAACUUUGUAACUGAAGAGUUUUAACCUGCAUUUCCCUAUGAUCCCAGGAACAGCAAGUCUUCCUGGAAAGGCUAUUCUGAGUUACAAAUUCAUGUAGGGUGGGAAAUACAUAUAAGUCCUUACAUAUUUAAAAUUCCCAACCACGGCAGUGAUGGGCCAUAUCCAUUUGCUUACCUGUGUGAUCCAGGCAUUGUAGCUGAUUGUGCAAGGAUGAGGACAUGGAACAUGGAAUGUGUUGUAGUAAGGGGUUGUACAGAGAACAAUUAGAAUCAGGACAUGGAGUUUAUAAUAUUAUUUUAAUAAUGGUCACCGGGAAUUAACACCAAAAAAUGCAGAAAAUCUAUCUGCAACACCAAAAACAUAGAAUAUUUAGUCAAGGGCCUAAAUCCCACAGCAAUGUCCCACAUGAGUCCAGAUAAAAACUCAGAACUCAUGACAGUGCCUCCCACGAGUCAAACUAGAGGACCAGAGCCCACAAGAAGGAGUCACACCAGUCUCUUUUACGGAUCCGUGCCGGGAAGGCCCAAAAGUCAACGGUGGAAGCCAGAAAGUCCAUGCCAGUGGGGUGAAGGAGCUUUGCUGGUGGGAUGAGGGUUCUAUGCUGGAGCAGAGAAAUCACACUUACAACAAAGACCAGGGCUUUCCUGAAAGGCACCACAGCCAUUCUCAGUGACACAGAGGCUCCGAGCUCCUCUGAUGACAAGCACAGUCGGGUACAUGCCAGGAAGCCAGUGUGACAAGUUCAUCCUGGAGACCAAGUGGUACAUGUCUUCCCCUCCAGAGCCAGGAAGUAAUGAUCGAUGUGAGGACCAAAGCUUCUCCAGGAUAGCCAACGGCUCAAACAGCAACUCAUAGGAGAACCCACCAUGCCUCAAUGCAAUAAUGCAUUAAUGUUUCAACACCCUCCUUCUCCUUCUCCACCUAUUUAUGCUGGCAACUUUCCUCAGGUGGAGCAUCUUCGCUCAGUGCCAUGCUGAUGUAAUCCAGCUGGCAUUAAGUUGAACAUAAUCCAUAACAGAAUGUAUGUGUGUGUUGAGAGAGGAGAGGAAGGAGAAGGCCAUGCACCAUGUUUUACUUUUGCUUUGUUUGUUGUCUGGCUUUAAAAGUAAGACUGAACUUCCCUAGGUUCCCUAGGUCUUGAUGUUAUGGAAUGAACCAGGGUUAUGCAGGGUUGCCGAACAAACUUACAUUCAAUUACAUGAUUUAUCUUUUUUUUUUUUUUUUUUGUCUUUUUCAUUUUUAUUGGUACCGGGUAUCGAACUUACAACCACCUGCUUGCAAGGCAGGUGCUUAUGUCGCUGAGCUAAAUUCCUAGCCCCAUACAUGAUUUAUCUUGAGCCUGUCAUUUCUGCCACUGGCACUGUGAGCAUUUUGAAUGAGGUGGUUUUUUGCUGUGGGGUUGUGCUGGGCACUGUGGGAUGCGUAAUAGCAUCCCUGGUUCCUUCCCAGCAGAUGUCAGAAGCAUUAUCUACCCCAGUUGUGAAAACUGAAGUAUCUCUUCACAUUGAGGAUUGUCCGCUGCAAGCAUAGUAGUCCCUGCUUGUGAAACACUGCCCCAGACGUGACAGGUUUGUGAUGGGGUUUGCUGUUUGUAAAAAGCAUAACCUGGAGAGUCAACCUUCUUGCCUUCAUUUUUAUUGAGCCUUUGCUGUGUGCCCUGAACGUGUGCUAGGUGAUGGGAAUGCAUGAUGUGUGCCUUAAAGAGAAGAGUCUAGUAUGGGAGGAAACCUUAUAAAUAAAUGACCCAAAAGCGUGGUGAAUGCAAUAAAAUGAGCAUGCGCAGGACUGGGAGAAAAGGAUAAUGCUCAAGGGUAGGCAGUGCCUGGCCCUGUUUCAGGCAGAUACUGGCAGCAUCAAAGAGCCUUCAAAGAUGAGUGGUGGAGGAAGCGAGAACACCAAGUCAUCAGAGCAGCUACAAUAGGUGAAAGGAAGCCUGAGAUGUGCAGAGUGUUGGGCAGAGAGUGUUACGAUUCUGGAGAGAUGGACAGGAUGGACUGUGUGCCAUUCGGAGAGCUUGGACUUUAGGAGGUAGGAGCCAUCGAUUGGAGAGUUUCAAGUGAGGGAGUGACAUGUUCUUGUUGACACCAGUUGCUUUGGUCAGUAUGCACAGUAUGCAUGAAAAGGUCACAGAAUGGCAUCAUGGAAACCAUGGAAGAGGCUGAGAGACAGUCAAGUCUUUGACGGUAGCAGGGGGAGAUUUGAGAAAUAUUUCAGGGGUCAAACAGUACCUGGCCUAGUGACUCUUCUGAUACAGGAAAUAAAAAAAGAGUGAGGGCUCAAGACUCACCUCCUGUCCCAGGUUUGUGACCAGUGACACCCUAGCAUGGGAGGCUAAACAUUGGUGUGCUUUCCUAUUGACUUCUUAUCAUCCUGACUUUGUGAAUGAGAAAAUGAGCUCAAAAGAGAAGGGUGAUUAGCUGGAAGUCACACAGUGGUGUGAAACUGGGAUUGGAGAACUGGGGCUAUCUGCUUUCUAGCAUGUUGUACUGUACAGUUUUGGUGGAGUAUGUUGUAUCUAACUGGUAGAAAUGGAUUUGCUUAGGGAGUAGACUUGAUUACCUUUGGCUUUUAAGUUUGAUGUUUUCUAUUGAAAAUUAUACCAAUAUAUUGACAUUUCUGUAUAUUCUGCAUGAAUAGGAAAAUAAAUAUCUUACCCAUAUUCCAUGCAGAUGUCACCCAUCCAAGCUUCAGCCUUGGCCCCCUAGGGCCCCUGGCCCAUCCUUUUGCUUCUGUGUUAAAAUGUGCACCAUGUGUCUUCAGACACAGCCAAGGAAACAGUUAAAACAUGGUUAAAGGAUUUGGUAAUUUAUAUCAUUGUUUUAGCCUUAACAUUAAAUUCUGGACUAAUAAGACCUUCUGCCCAAAAUUAUUAAAUGUGACAAAGAGCAAGAAUGACGAUUAAGCAGGAAAAAGGGGAAGAAAAUCACUAGACUGAAAGCAGAAAUUUAUGGGUGUUAAGAUAAACACAAAGAAAUUCUUGUUACUUCUCCCUGGGUUGCUCCUUUAACCUUCUCUUCUCCAAAUCUAAACUUCAAAGCUCCUAGCAAAACCAAGAUACAGCAAUGUAGGAUUACUUGCCUAAUUUACUUAUAUUUUGAGGAAGUGUCCCAAAAGGCCAGUUAAGCCUGUCUGACAGCAGUGACAGUUAUCAUCGUCAGGAAGUUAGGAAUAAUGACGGCCUGUGACCUAUGUCAGCUCUGGAGGCCUCUCAGAACUGCCAGAAGACGUCACUGGUGUUUAUCUCUAAGGAUCGCCUUCCUUCUCAUGGUGGUGAGAGGUGGUUCUGGAUGCAGAGGGAAGAUUCUCAGGCUCCAGUUACCUGUGGCGGCUUACUCUGUUUUCUCCACACAGCAAUUUAAAAUUCUUUCCUUUUGGUUCGGAGUGUGCUAUGCUCAUUUAAAGUAACCAACAGUGAGUGUCCUGGGGGUUUAGGUUCCAAUUCUAUGGUGCAACAGUGACAUCCAUUGGCCCGUGUGUUAAUGAUAGCAGAGCUUUCUUAGCACUGUGACUGUUGGGCUUCUUGAUACAGACACAAAAGGUGACACUGAUCCAGGACCAGCACAUGAAUGCAGCUGGUACUUGGGGCACUGCCUAGUACUUGCAGACUGGCCUGGUUCAGGACCUUUCCCAGUCAUGUGUCCUCACAUCAGGGCUGCCUGCGUGUGGCCUAGGGUCAUUUGGGAACAUCAUGGGUCCUCUCUGUGGAGUCUAAUAUCUACCUUUGUCAGGCAGUGGGGAGGCCUUGGUUUUAACUAGGAUAUACUGUUGAAUGCAUGAGCCAGGGGAAAUCAUUUUACUUCUGAACCUUUUCUAUACUGAUAAAACGAAAUUGAUGGCAAUGACUGCUUUGUGGUUACCAAUGUUUCCAUACAUUGUGUAAUACAUUCCCUCAAUCCCACAAAUUGUAAAAAUUAGAAAAGCACAGACCACAUCUUCUUAGUAUCCACCAAACUGUGAGGCUAGGAAGCUGAGAACCAAAUUACAGGUUUUCAAACCACAGGCUUUGGUAACUUCUGUUCCUGCCCUCACCAGGGUUAACUAUUGUUACAGAAACUCCAGCGACAUAUCUAAAGGAACACUGAGGUUCAGGAGAUGGAAUGUCUAAGGGGGCUUCUGGGAAGGGCAUGAGAGCGAGAAAUAAAUGACCAGUGUGUCCUCAGGUAGAAAAACGUACUUGCCGGGCCCCAUCCCACAGAGAACAUGAUUGGAAACUGCAAAGCUACAGUUUCUUAUUUUUACCUACUAUGAAGCAUUAAGAAGGAAGGGUGAAUAAGACAUCUCAUCCUACAUCUUUGAAGACUUCUUUAUUGUUAAAUGAAGUACACAGAGCAUGACAGGAACUGUGACUUACAAUAGAGUGUUCUGUCAGUCAUUCCUGCAGGAUGCUAUGGGCACCUCCCAGCACCCUGCUGAGUGUGCAGGCAUGCAUGCGUCUGUGUUAGGGUCAGAGUCAUGGCUACUGCAGGCAUCUUUGGAUGGGAAAGCAAGUGAAUAUUCUCAGUUAAAACUCAAGCCAGAAUAUCAAACAUGUCUCAGUCUCAAAACCAAAUAGAUGGCAAAACAGAGAAACCAGGCAUAUUUCACUGACACAAAAACAAAGCCAGGAUUCAGUGGCAGAUUGUAUCAUUUCAUUGUAAAUCUUUUCUCCUUCUUCUUCUCCUCCUUCUCCUUCUCCUUCUCCUUCUCCUUCUCCUUUUCCUUCUCCUUCUCCUUCUCCUUCUCCUUCUCCCUCUUCUUCUUUUGGAAACAGAUAGAGAAACUGAUUUGCAAUGUGUGCAGCCAAAUCCAUUACUGACUCACUGGUAAAACUUUUUCAAAUUAUGGAAUUAUUCCAAACCAAAAAAAAAAAGACUCUUCUGAAACAGAAUCUCAUUCAGAUUCCAUUUCUCUUUCUCAACCAGGCAUAAGCAGCACAGCUUGGUCCCAGUGCUCUGUCUUCCUGGGUUGUCUCUUUUUAAUUCUUGCUGGAAAUACCCAGGACCCACCCUGCAGCCCUCUCUUCCACCCUAGUGAGAGCUUCUCCACCUGAACUUACUAACCAGGAGGAGACCUGGUGCUCUACUCCUCCACACACAGGUGGAGUUUUCUAAGGAAGAAGCCAACAGCUGGCCCAGGGUGCUGUCAGGUGCAUGGGCACAUGGCCAUGAGUUCUUUACUCUCCCUACCAUCUGGCCAUCUGGAUGCCUUUUGAAAGAGUGGAGUCUGCAUUUCAAAACAUCACUCCUCAUUGGUUGCUUAGAUUUGGAAACACCUACUGGACAAACUGAGAAGACUAUAUGUAACAUAUAGUUGUUGGCUCUGUUUAGAAUCCUAAGACAGGUACCAAAGCAUAAGUCUAAGGGAUCCAAAGGCACUAGUAUGGGGCUAUGUGAAGGAAGUAAGGAAAAAUAGUUGGGGGCUAGAAAUAUACCUUGGUUGGUUUAAUCCCCAUCAGUGCAAAAAAAAAAAGAAAAGAAAAGGGAUGAAUUUAUUUUAACUGAAGCAAAUUAUCCAAGUCAAACAAUUUCAGCUGAACAGUUUUGGCUAAACUGAGUCCUCAAAAGGUAAUACUUUGCCAGCUUGAAACCAGUGGUAGAGAGAAAGUGCUCAUGGGCUCUGUCAUGCUCUGGCUUCAGUGUUAAAACUCAGGGGUGUCUGCUUAGUGUGCCCCUGUGUGCCUGAAAGCCACUGGACUGGAGUCCCUGCCUUCCCCCAAUAUGGAAUAAAAGAAUUAUCGAUCUGAUCUUGUAAGCCCCCUUGUUUUGCAAGGUGAACUCCAGAAAAGCUCACUGCAAAGUUAACAAGUCAUGACUAGAAUCCAUGUGCUGGUCUGUGAGUAAAGCAGUGGUCAUAAUGGUUACAAAGCAGCCAGGGCUCCUAAAGCUUGUUUUGUUUUUUUGGCCAUUUGGUUGUUUGUAAGACAGAAUCUUAGUACAUUGCCCAGGGUGUUCUCAAACUCUUGGGCUCAAGCAAUUCUCUUGUUUCAGCCUCCCAAGUAGCUGGGAUUACAGGGAUACUCCAUCAUAUUCAGCUCAAAAAUUCACUUAUUAUUUUUUCUGGCCCUGGAGAUCAAACUCAGGACCUAGUGUAUUCUAGCACUUGCUGUAUCUCUGGAUUGUACUCCUAGCUCUGCUUGUUGUUGUCAAUUGAAUUUCUGGAAUUUAUAUAAAAACUGCUGCUGUCUGUCUUAGUUCUAAGAAGUUGGGAAUACCCACAUUCCAAAAGGCAAUGAUAGGGUUGGAGGGACUCUCUGGGAAGGACAGAGGCACUUUAGGGGACCAUAUCCCUCCUGAAUCUCUUCCUCCACUUCCUUUUUCUGGUUCUAUAGGAACCUGAGUCACAAUACCUGCCUCACCCCAAGCUGUAGCUUUGGGACACCUUGUCUGACUAUUCAAACAAUUUCUUAUCUGGCCAAUACAUACCAAGUGUUUGGCUCUCAGCUCUUGACAGUUGGAGAUAAUAAGCCAGAUUUUCAAAGAGAAUAAGCUACUUCCUGGCAUUAAGUCUGUCUUUGUUGGAAGAAAGAACACUAACUUUGUAGGACUAUAGCAAGGUGCCACAUGGGAUUCUUGUGGCUGUCAGCAUUCAUGUCAUUUUAAAAAACAUUCCUUUUCUCCUGGGUUUGUUUACACAUCAGAAAAUUCUUUAAAAAAAAAAAGCUUUUGGUAUCUGUGAAGUGCAAGAGUUUAUUUAGAAAAGCAGUUUCUCAUCUAAAGACCUUGUUAAACCAUUUCUGUUAGGAAGAAACUGUAUAGCUCCAUGAAACAUUUAUAGUUGGUGAUAAAUGAAUAAUUUUGGGGGUUCAUAUAGUCAGAAUUCAUAGCUAACUGAUAGUUGUGAACUCAACUAUCAGUUCUUGUUGGGCAUGACAAGGAUCAAGGGAGCUUUAAAAAAAUAAUGCUAAAGUGCUAAAGAGAAGGAUGGAGCACAGAAUCCCCCACCCCUACCCAGGGAUUACAAUUCAGUUGGUUUGGAGUUGGUCCUGGUCUAUGAGUUUUUUGCUUUUGUUGUUUCAUUUAUUGUAAAAAUCAUGUAAUGUUACGUUUAGCAUCUUAAUUCACUUUAAGUGUACAUUUCAGUAAUGUUAAGUAUGUUCAUGUUGUUGUUCCUUAUGAAGUGGAUCUCCAGAAAUUUUUCACCUUCCAAAACUGAAGUUUUCUAUGUAUUUAAAAACAAUUCCAUUUCCACUGCCCACAGACUCUGGAUUUAAGGGCUUCCCAAAUGAGGUCUUCAAGAUUUCUUGGAAAGGUUUCUUACCACUGGGGAUUUAGCUCCGUGGUGUAAGCACCUGAUUGGCAAGUGCAAGGUCAUGAGUUCAAUCCCUGGUACCAGAAAUAAUGUUUCCUACCCUCAAAGAGCCUCAAGGUUUUGUACAGUUCUUACCUGGGUUCAUAUGCUGCCAAUACCAUCGAAACAGGAGUGAUGAGUUUAUUGCCUAUAUAAGGUCCCAAAACCUUCUAUGUCCUUGAUUAAUAAUUAUCCCUGCCUUCGGCCUCAAAUAGUGAAGCCCCUUCUUGGCAGCAGCUUGGCAUGCAGUGUUGCCUGGCUAAUGUCCAGGAAUCUUUGAUCUGCUAUCUUGCUGCCACUGAUAGCCUAUGUUUAACUUCUCCACCCACCCUCCAUACCACUUGAGGGUGGGGCAUUGGGAAAGUGUACCAGGAAGCAAUGGCAUUUCCAGAGCUCCCUGCCCAUUGAGAGAACCAGCUCAGAGGAGAGAAGGUGCUAGAAGGCCCUGGUCCAUGUGGCUUUCUUGCCCUGGCAGCAGUGAAACCUGCAGGCUUGCCUGAAGUGCUGUUUUUUGUCACAUCUCCCACAACAAUUAAUCCAGUGUUUUCUUGUGUUUUAUGGCUAUUGGAGUUGGCAUAAUUACCAUAAUUCCUGGCAUGUCUCGUUAGUCUGUCCUAAACCUAAGAGAACAGAUAUGAUGCCCUGUUCUGAUGUUUUCCACGAGCUGCCUACUUUGUCCAUUACAGAAAGCAGCAAAAAAAUUUUUUAAAGAAACAGAUACAAGUUAAAGCUCGGACCAUCCUUGUGUCCAUUGUUUGUAACACAUAAUUCAAAGCCUCCCCUACCCUUCUCUGGUGUUGUGUCUAAUCUUUCCUUCUGCCACCAGGUGUGACAUCCUGACCCCAUCAUAGCUUCAUUCCCAGAUAAGCGCUGCCCUGGUGAAUUCUGCUGUAUCAGUGCUGACCUGCGUGACCUAGAGUAUUACAGAGAGCUUGUGGGACCUUGGGAAAUUCCAGCUGCACACUGUUACCACAACACCAAACAGGGUAACUUGCAGGACCCUGUGGAUGACAGGGGAAAGAGAUAAUUUUAUAAGGAAAGUUUUGAGCUGGAGUAUUCAUUGAUUUAAGGCAAUAUCUUUAAAGUCUUUAGAGAAAAUAAAAGUGCAAUUUUGUAUAUUCUAGAGUUUAAGGAAAGUCAGUGUUUCUUAAAGCUAUAGAAAAUUCUGACUCACUCAGUGUAACUGGAGAUUUGCAAUUUCAGUUUUGGGCUAGUCAUGUGGGUACCUGUUACUCAGAUACCUCAUGUUUUUUGGCUUGGCUGAGUUGAAGUGUCAGAAGGAUCUAACAGACAGUAUAUCUUUUAAUUUCUCCAAAGGAAAUACUGAGUAAGUAGGGAUUUAGAAAGAGAUUUGCACACCCCCAUUCGUAGCAGCAUCAUUCACAAUAGCCAAAAGGUGGAGGCAAUCCAAGUGUCUAUUGAUAGAUAAAUAGAUAGACAAAAUGUGAUAUUUACAUACAAUGGCCUGUUAUUCAAUCUUAAUGAGGACUGAAAUCCACUUACAGGCUACAACAUGGAUGAAGCUUGAGGACAUUAUGCUAAAUGAAGGAAGCUAGUUACACAAGGACAGAUGCUGUAUGACUGCACACACACGAGGCACCUAAGGUGGUCGUAUUCAUAGAAAAAGAAAGUAUGGUUGCUGACAGGGGCUGGGAAUGGAGAAAUUAGAUAAUUAUUUACUGGGUACCGAGUUUUAGUUUUGCAAGGUAAAGUGAGUUUUAUGAGUGAAUGGUAGCAAUUUUAACUAGACAGUGUACGUAUGCUUAAUGCAACUGGAAAGUAGGCUUACAAGUGGUUAGGACAGUACAUUUUACCUUAUUGUACUUUGCACAAUUUUAAACAAUGAAGCACUGAGAAAACAGAGGGUCUGACUAUAAUUGUUUUACAAACUGAAAUGAGCAUUAAAAAUGAUGUUGUAUGGACUUCUUCUUUGAUCAGAUUUAUACAGAGAAAAGUCUGAGUCACAGAAAUUUUAUGAUGACUGAAAUAUAAAUGUUAUACAUGGAACAAGCUGCAUAAAAACGGGUCUGUAUGAGACACUUCAAGGAAACUAAGCUAAGGUUCCAAAUCCACAGUUGCUCCUGCCAUCUGUGAAAACCAACGCCAGGUCUUCUGGGUACCUUGCCCGCAACUGAGGUCACCUCUCUCUUCAGACCUUUUCCUCUUCCACUUGUCCCAUUUAUCCGUGCUUUGGGUAUCAUCACUUGCCCUGUUGCUCACGCCUGACGUUUGAGCAUCUUUCCUGGUUCUUGCCACCUCCCACAUCUUAACAAAACUAACAAGGCCUCUCUGUCACAACCCUCCUUCCGACUUUUACAUGAGGUCCAAAGUGGUACUUUUCACAAUACACAAAAGGUGAGGAUAACCCACAUAUCUAUCAGGUGGUAAACGGGUGUCUAUUGGUACAGUGCAAUGCAAUGAAAAGAAUGAACUACCAGUCCCUGAGAGAACAUGAGUUAAUCUCAGGAACAUGCUUCCUAAAAAAAGCCAGACACAAAAUUACGUAUCUUAUUGUCAUAUUUAUUUGAAAUAUCUACAAAAGGCAAAUCUAUAGAGAAUAAAGGGAGAUCCAUGAUAGUCUGAGCCUUGGUGGGAGCAGAGUGACAAUGAAGUGCUUUUGGUGAUGAUGAAAAUCUCCUAAAAUGAGUAAGCAAACCUCAAGAUUCACUUAAUGAUAAUUGAAUUGCACACUUAAAAAUGAGCAUUUUAUUUGGAAAAUAACAGACUUUUAUGUGAUUUGGAAAGGCGGAAAAGAAUGGAAAAAUGUGACUGCUGAAAUCAAAAAAGAAGUUUUUUUUUUUUUUUUUUUUUUGUCUUUUUCAUUUUUAUCGGUAGCAGGAAUUGAACUCAUGACUGCACACUUGCAAGGCAGGUGCUUAUGCUGCUGAGCUAAAUCUCCAACCCCAAAAAAAGAAGUUUUAAACAAUGUCUUUAUACUAACAAUAUCUUUCACUUUACUUCUAAAGAUUCUCCUCAUUGGUCCCACUAUUAAUCUUCUCAGGCAUUACCCAAGGUUAGCUCCCCCCCCCCUUUUCUUUUUAUACUGAGGAUUGAAUCCAGGCAGCACUGAGCUAAAUCCCCUUUUUAUUUUCUUGAGGCAGUGUUUUGCUAAAUUGCCUAGGCCAAUCUUAAACUUGUGGUCCUCAUGCAUCAGCCUCCAGAGUAGCCAGAAUUUCAGAUAUGUACCACCAUGUCCAGCUGGGGUUAGCUGAUCUGAUUGUUCAACAAUUAUUUGAGCUCCUACUGUAUGCCAGAUACUGUCCUACAUGCUUGAAUCUCAAGAUCUGUCGAGCUCCCUGGCCUGAUGGGGCCUACAUUCUCCCAUGAGGAUACUGUCACCUCUAGGGUGCUCUCCUGUGGUCGCAUCCUAACUACUCCCAACCUCUGGCCCUGCUUCUCUCUGAAACCAGCGCAACCCUUCUAAAAUGCAAAUAUAAUCCAGUUCUUCUGCUAAAAAACACUUCCAAUGGCUUCCACUGGCUUCUGGACAAACUUCAAACUCCUAACCAGGCCUGGACUAGACCUCCUGUCCAGGGCCUGUGAGGCCUUUGUGCCCAGGCUAGAUCUGCCACUUGCUUCUUGCAGGUGUCUUUCCUUUCCUGCAUCUCUCAGCUCUUUCUCUCUUCCAUUCUUUUUGUUGGCCUUGCUCCCACUUAGCCUUGGGAUCUCAGUAUAGAGUCCUUUGGUAAUUCCUCACUUCCCGUUAAAGGGCCCCAACUUGCCCAGUAGAUUCCGAUUAUUACACAGUGCCCUGGCAUUAGAGGUCCUCAUAAAGUAUGGCUUUUGAAUGAACACCAGGAAAGACUAACUCUGUCAUUCCAGAGAAAAACAGAUGUGUCUGGCAUUGAUUUUUUUACUUACAUGACGCCAGGUUCUCCUCCCUUAAAGGAUAGAGUCACUCAGAGUUAGGAAGCGGGAGCUGAGUGUGCUAUUUGUGUGAAGGCCACAGUAGGAAAGACAAGUUUCUCCAAAAAAGAAACAUGGCAAAACCUUCUAGUUUAAUUCCAUUAGUAGAUUAAUGAUAAAUUAAAAUAUUCAUAUAAUAUCUAAAGCUCAUUUGACUGAGAGAAACUAAUGCAUUUAUUUAUUUGUUUGUUUACUUUUUUGAGGCAGUCUCACUCUGCAGUUCUGGCUGGCCUUGAACUCACUAUGUAGCCCAGACUGGACUCAAACUUGCAGUGAUUUUCCUGUCUCUUCUACCCAAGUGCUGGGAUUACAGGAGUGCAUCAUCUAAUGUAUUUUUAAAGAGAAACUUUUAAAAAAUUUUAUUCCUAUUGUUGAUAGAGAAUAUAUUGCCUCAAAUGUUUUGAUCAAAUUCUUUUUACUGUGCAUCAUUCUGUUCAAAUUAGAGACAACAAAGAAAAGAAAGAAGAGAAAUUGUGGGGCUAGGAGUGUAGCUCCAUGCUGGAGAGCUUGACAGUAAGGUCUUGAGUGUGAUCCUCAGCACUGCAAAAUUAUUAAUUAGCUAGAAAAUUAAUUUUUUUUGUCUUUUUACUUUUUUGUCGGUACCGGGGAUUGAACUCAGGACUGCCUGCUUGCAAGGCAGGCGCUUAUGCCGCUAAGCUAAAUCCCCAGCCCCUAUAAAAUUAAUUUUUAAAAAGGAUGCACUGCUUCUCUAACACAUACCUCAGUGGGUUUUAUUAGGGACAGAGACCAAAUUGUAUGAAGUUUUCUAUUUGAAUAUUGACUUACUCCCCAAAGAAAAUUCAGUUUUAUUAUUGUUUAUUUUUAAAGUAUAUAUAGUAUUAAUUUGUUAAUAAAAUAUCAUUUGCAGGGGUGGGGAUUUAGCUCAGUGGCAUAAGCGCCUGCCUUGCAAGUGCACGAUCAUGAGUUCGAUCUCCGGUACUGAUAAAAAAAAAAAAGAAAGAAAAUAUCGUAGUCUGUCUCAUUGCCUCAUUCAAAAAAAAAAAAAAAAAAAGACCCUCUCCAACUUUGCACAACUAAAGAAUUAAAACAUUUGCUCUUUGUUACUUUGAUCAACAAAUACCCCAUUUCCGAAACAUAAAAAUGCCAACUAAGGUCAUUUUUCCUUCUGCUGAUUAAAUAAGUUUAUAGAAAUAGCCUAGCCUCCCACCUGGAUAACAAAAGAAAAGAUGGGAUGUAGGUGAGUGAAAGAAGUGGAGUUGGGUUUCCUAAGCCUCCCAUGUUGCCUUUCGGCAUUUCUGUCCCCAGCUCUUAGGUCUGUGGCUCCUUGGGUCUCCCGCAGACUCCUGCAUUGCUGUCAUGUAGUAGGGGUACAAUACAGUCAGUUAUCUCCACCUGAAAGCUUCUUUCACCAUUACCCAUUACCCUGUAUAAUUUUUAAAAUACCCUGUAGGCCAGUAAGGACUUCCCUUGGGAGAUCACCCAUAGUUCUUCCUUCUGCUUCUGUAAACUUGUAUCUUCCCCCCACCACCACCAUUUUGUGCACAUAAACAGUAAAAAUACCUAAGUGUAACUGCUCCGAGGAAAGACAGUGUGGGUUGGGGAGUGUGCUGGGCUAGAAAUAGCAGCCAAAUAGUGGCACAUUUGCUUCUUCACGUUGAGUUUAACUAUUUCCUUUUUGUUUCUCUUGGGUUUUUUUUUUUUUUUUUUUUUUUUUACUAUUUUUUAAAUUUAAAAAUGUUUUAAUUGUAGUAAAAAACAACAUAAAAUGUAUCACCUUCACCAUUUUUACCUGUGCAGUUCAGUAGUGUUAGGUACGUGCAUAGUGCUGUAAAACAGACCAGAGCUUUUCAAUCCUGCAGAAGUGAAAUUUUACACCAUGGCAUAGCUCCCCCUGCCCCAGUUUAUUAUUGCUUAAAAAUGAAAAAGAUGGGCUUCUCAAUGUAUCAUAUGUUAUAAAGUCAAAGGUUUUCAAUUUUCUUUUUUUAAUGUAAGAGAACAGAUACAUGUUUUUCACAGUGAUUACUUGCUAUAUUUCUCAGCAUUAUUUAUCAUUUCUUGUCUCUUGUGUGUUUUAAGAUGAGUGAUGGAGGAGAUAGUUCAUGCCCUUAACAUUUUAGCAGCCUCCCUGACUCUCCCCAUAACCCGGGAUUAAGGGCGACUGUCCUGUGACUGUGGCAGCAGAAGCAUUCUGCUCAUCAGGAGCAGAGGACAAGUUUCCAGAAGCCUGUCCCCGCUCCGUCUGCCAACCUACCCCCCAUACCCCACUGUCCAGCAGCCUGGACGCCCCACUCCUUGUUCUCAUAGCUCACACCAGCUGCUGGGGCCUGCUUGGGUUGGCUCCAGUUUUCUGAAGUCUGGCAGUUAGUUAAUAAGAAAACCAGGAUGUAAAUCACCGGCCCAGACAGUUUCCUCUGGGGAAACUUCUAAGUCCUGUCAGGUCUUUUCAUUCCUCCACUUAGGAAAGAGACCAGUGCUCACUUCGGACACAACUAUGAACACAGACCAGAGGCAAGAACACUAAAGUAUGUGAAAUAACACUGACAUCCGGCUUGGAGUAGCACAGUUUCCUGGACACCUACUGGGAGAAUGCUGUGCCUGAAAACAAAUAAACUGGAAAGUAAAGAUGGACUUUUCCUCCGUGUGGAAUCUAUAUGUAAAAGUAUGAAAUAAAACUUGUGAUUUGAGGCAAGCAGAAGAGAACUUAGAAAAUUACUCUGGAAAGAGUCACCAUGAUGGUUGAUGACUAAAAUUGUUUUAGAACCACAUUGUUUACAGGUAUUUAAAGAACAAAGGGAGGUGAUUUUGCUUCUUUACGACAGCAAUGUAAGACUGCCAAAAAAAGUCAACAAGAAUUAUGUUUAAUUCUUCUGUUUCUCUUUUAAAUGCCAAAGAAGCCAGUACUGCAAGACCAAUGAAGCUGCCAACUGACUAGUGGAAAAUUUUUAUUUUCAAACAAAAUAUUAAGAUUUACAGAUGAAGAUAAGGAGAAUUUUUUAAAAACCUGGAGCACCAAAUAAGGUUUAGCCCCUUUGAAGAACAUGUACACAUUCCAUAUCCUAUUGUCUGAACCUUAGUAGCAAUAAAUCAUUGAACUUGUCUGUA